UACGGGGGGUGCAAGCGUUGUUCGGAUUUACUGGGCGUAAAGGGCGCGUAGGCGGUAGCACAAGUCAGUUGUGAAAUCUCCGGGCUUAACUCGGAAAGGUCAACUGAUACUGUGCGACUAGAGUGCAGAAGGGGCAACUGGAAUUCUCGGUGUAGCGGUGAAAUGCGUAGAUAUCGAGAGGAACACCUGCGGCGAAGGCGGGUUGCUGGGCUGACACUGACGCUGAGGCGCGAAAGCCAGGGGAGCGAACGGG
rnacentral:rRNA from 1 species